rnacentral:rRNA from 1 species
GGGUGAGUAACACGUAUGCAACCUGUCCGGUACAGGGGGAUAAGCGGCGGAAACGCCGUCUAAUACCGCGUGACAACCCGAGGGGGCAUCCCCUUGGGUUCAAAGGAGAGAUCCGGUACCGGCUGGGCAUGCGGCGCAUUAGCUAGUUGGCGGGGCAACGGCCCACCAAGGCGACGAUGCGUAGGGGUUCUGAGAGGAAGGUCCCCCACACUGGAACUGAGACACGGUCCAGACUCCUACGGGAGGCAGCAGUGAGGAAUAUUGGUCAAUGGGCGCAAGCCUGAACCAGCCAAGUCGCGUGAGGGAAGACGGCCCUACGGGUUGUAAACCUCUUUUGCCGGGGAGCAAGCCUGAGCACGUGUGCCCAGGCGGAGAGUACCCGGAGAAAAAGCAUCGGCUAACUCCGUGCCAGCAGCCGCGGUAAUACGGAGGAUGCGAGCGUUAUCCGGAUUUAUUGGGUUUAAAGGGUGCGCAGGCGGGCUGUUAAGCCGGCGGUAAAAAUUCAGGGCUCAACCCUGUCGAGCCGUCGGAACUGGCAGUCUUGAGUGGGCGAGAAGUAUGCGGAAUGCGUGGUGUAGCGGUGAAAUGCAUAGAUAUCACGCAGAACGCCGAUUGCGAAGGCAGCAUACCGGCGCCCAACUGACGCUGAGGCACGAAAGCGUGGGGAUCGAACAGGAUUAGAUACCCUGGUAGUCCACGCAGUAAACGAU